ACCAGCAUGUCUCAGUCGGUAUAGUGUGAGACUCUUAAUCUCAGGGUCGUGGGUUCAAGCCCCACAUUGGGCG
rnacentral:tRNA from 1 species